GACGAACGCUGGCGGCGUGCUUAACACAUGCAAGUCGAGCGGUAAGGCCCUUUCGGGGGUACACGAGCGGCGAACGGGUGAGUAACACGUGGGUGACCUGCCCUCAGCUCUGGGAUAAGCCUGGGAAACCGGGUCUAAUACUGGAUAUGACUCCAUGACGCAUGUUGUGGGGUGGAAAGCCUUGUGCGGCUGAGGAUGGGCCCGCGGCCUAUCAGCUUGUUGGUGGGGUGANGGCCUACCAAGGCGACGACGGGUAGCCGGCCUGAGAGGCGACCGGCCACACUGGGACUGAGACACGGCCCAGACUCCUACGGGAGGCAGCAGUGGGGAAUCUUGCGCAAUGGGCGAAAGCCUGACGCAGCGACGCGCGUGA
rnacentral:rRNA from 1 species